rnacentral:lncRNA from 1 species
CCACAUUCGUCUCGCCCUCCACCUCUCCCAUCAGAAUCAAGCCAAUCACCGGUGUUACCACUCCAUCGAACGACCCGACGAGAAACACCCAGGUCGUCGGCGGUGACUGCUGGAGUUUAGGAUGGUACUGAGGUCGCAGAUGAGGGGACUGUUGGAGUUUUGGAGGGGGAAGCAUCUCUCGUCUCUCGUAUUCGGCGAACAGCCCCAUGCUCACUGUACCAUCAACUACCACACAGAAAUAUUAUGGGCGUGA